UACGUAGGGUGCAAGCGUUUGUCCGGAAUUAUUGGGCGUAAAGAGCUCGUAGGCGGUUUGUCGCGUCUGCUGUGAAAACUCGGGGCUUAACCCCGGGCCUGCAGUGGGUACGGGCAGACUAGAGUGCGGUAGGGGAGACUGGAAUUCCUGGUGUAGCGGUGAAAUGCGCAGAUAUCAGGAGGAACACCGGUGGCGAAGGCGGUUCUCUGGGCAUGUCCUGACGCUGAGGAGCGAAAGUGUGGGGAGCGAACAGG
rnacentral:rRNA from 1 species